rnacentral:lncRNA from 1 species
UUAGUCUGCUUACACUAGUAAGAGAUUUUAGCAUGGUUACCUUGGAUUGUAAAGCUUUUGUAACAGGCUAUYUCUUAUAGCUGCAGAUAGUUUGUCAGAAAUACCCUGGAAAACACUCUUAAAAGGUUAGUUCCUGUCCUGCAACUCUUYCUCCUUUUCUGCAAGACAUAAUUAYGAGAUUCUAAGUGUCACAAAAAGUCUGUGCGAUCUGUUUUCGAAUCGUACCGUUUUUCAGGCUACGAGGUUUUCAGACGGAGGUCAAAGGCUGUCUUCCACAGACAUCUCCCAUGCCUGACAAGUGGAAGAUAGGAUUGCUUCUGAGUACUUACAGAAAUUGGCAAAAGGAUUUCAGGAAGAAUAGCUGGACUAUGUGCUACAGGAAUUCAGAAGCAAGGAUAACACGCUGAAAAGCAAAUCACACCUGCUCUUUAAGAUGCCUAUGGAAGUAAUCCCAGGGUAAGACAUCUUUGAGGAGCAGUCCUGCACUAAAAGCUACUUGUGUUUGUCUUCCACUUAAAUGGUUCUCCUGUGAUGCAAUGAAAAAUGCCUACUACUUAAGCAUUCAUUUUACAUCAAAGAGAAAACAUGAGCAUCUUCCAAAUGAAACUGGCUUAAUAAGCCAGGCCCUAAUUUAAG